AGCAGGUACAGACAGGUGAGUCAGGUCCAGAAGGUGAAGCAGGUACAGACAGGUGAAGCAGGUACAGACAGGUGAGUCAGGUACAGAAGGUGAGUCAGGUACAGACAGGUGAAGCAGGUACAGAAGGUGAGUCAGGUACAGAAGGUGAAGCAGGUACAGACAGGUGAGUCAGGUCCAGACAGGUGAGUCAGGUCCAGAAGGUGAAGCAGGUACAGAAGGUGAAGCAGGUACAGACAGGUGAGUCAGGUCCAGAAGGUGAAGCAGGUACAGACAGGUGAGUCAGGUCCAGAAGGUGAAGCAGGUACAGAAGGUGAAGCAGGUACAGACAGGUGAGUCAGGUCCAGAAGGUGAAGCAGGUACAGACAGGUGAGUCAGGUACAGACAGGUGAGUCAGUUCCAGAAGGUGAAGCAGGUACAGAAGGUGAGUCAGGUACAGACAGGUGAAGCAGCAGUGGUGGGAGGAGCUUCAGACACAUCAUGUAAUCUGGUCACCUGAUCUCCUGGAUGAGGCGGUGGACAUCGUGGGGGAGGAGCAGGCCGCAGACGGACACGCUUAGAGCUCGGCUGACGGUCG